GUGCUCUCUUCAGUAACACAUAUACUAAAAUUGGAAUGAGACAGAGAAGAUUAGCAUGGCCACCGCACAAGGAUGACAUGCAAAUUUGUGAAGCAUCAUGUAUUUUU